rnacentral:rRNA from 1 species
GAUGAACGCUAGCUACAGGCUUAACACAUGCAAGUCGAGGGGAAACGACAUCGAAAUCUUGCUUUUGAUGGGCGUCGACCGGCGCACGGGUGAGUAACGCGUAUCCAACCUGCCCACCACUUGCGGAUAACCUUGCGAAAGUAAGACUAAUACCCAAUGAUAUCUCUAGAAGACAUCUGAAAGAGAUUAAAGAUUUAUCGGUGAUGGAUGGGGAUGCGUCUGAUUAGCUUGUUGGCGGGGUAACGGCCAACCAAGGCAACGAUCAGUAGGGGUUAUGAGAGGAAGGCCCCCCAGAUGGGAACUGCGACCCGGUCCAAAAUCCUACGGGAGGCAGGAGUAAGGAAUAUUGGUCAAUGAACGAGAGUCUGAACCAGCCAAGUAGGGUGCAGGAAGCCGGGCCUAUGGGUUGUAAACUGCUUUUAAAAGAGAAUAAAGUGAGUCUCGUGAGACUUUUUGAAGGUACCUUAUGAAUAAGGACCGGCUAAUUCCGUG